UAUUCGCUAACCGUCGUGUUCAGCUGCUUGUCGAACUUCGUGGUCGACAUGUAAUACACAAACGGUUUUUGGCACGGUUGCCGACUAACCGGCCUGGUGUUGAAUGCGUAGGCGGUGUAGUCCGCUCUUUUGUACCAAUUCAAGAACGUUCUAGUAGGCAUUUCCAUUUCCCUUGGAGAAAAUAUUCCUCGGAAUAUUUGGACCGCGUAGCCCCACGAGACCGAGACGGUCCAGCUCUUGUGCUUGUCGUAGCAUAUAGACUGCUGGAGAAGCCCGGCUGAGUCGAGCUUCAUCGGUACAGUUAGCUUCUUGAGGGCACGGACUCGGGUCAUGUUUGGGAAGAUCGGCUCCACGACGUCGAGGUGGUGCACUGAGACGAACGGUGUUACUGGGUGUGCGGCCAGGAGACCGAAGAGGCUCCCGUAUACGUCGUACUGAAACCGAACAACACAAACUUAAGAUGUUACAAGGAGCGUGAGUUUCACACGUCAUAUGUGCGCGUAGGAAAUAAUGACAUCAACAAAUCAUUCAAGUGUGAAGAACAGAAAAGCGGGUCCCACUCUUACACCUGUAUUCAACCAUCUAACUAAAGUAAAUGGACAAGGCAUUGAGCUCCUCACGCGCCGCUUUGUCGGUACCAAACCACGGAAAAAUUGCCAAAACACGGAAAAAUUGCCAAAACAAUAUUGAAGCACAAACAGAACAAAGAAACGAAACUGAUAUCACUACUAAACCAGCAUGAGAGAUUCUUUAUUACAAGAAACAUUAUACUCCUAAAACAAGUGCCCCUAAAACUAGUCUUUUGAAACUCUUUCCGACAAAACUCUUAAAAAGUUUGAACUUUGCUGAAAAGCUAACUACUUGAUUGAAACCCAUUUCAAUUGCCAUCAUUACCUUCAAGACCCAUGUCACAAUAUCACUAAAAACACCAACUUUGCCACUAAAUCAUUAAAUAUCGCUUAUGGUUUCAACAUUAGGACUCAACAAUCAUCCACUCAACCCUUAAAAGACAAAUUCACCAUACUUGGCAGUGACCCAACACCAGCUAAUACUAGUCUACUACCGAAACUUGCCAAAACCAAACUGAAAUUUCCAACAAAACUUGUCUUACCUGGUGAAAGCCGAGUUCUUUAGUAAGCGGAACACCGAGCUCAGCCAUACAAGCUUGCAUGCGAUCGUCUGAGCCAUACAACGCAGGAUACCUCUGUAUACACCGAUCCUGCAUCUUGCUCAAAGCCUUAGCCAAAGGGUAGCUAAUAGCGAACCCUCCUCCGCCGUAAGCCAUCCCGUAAGAGAAAAAUAUGUUCUGCAGAUGAGAUUCCGACAAGCUCCCGAUGUAAUACAUCUGCUCGUGGUCGUACUUCCUCAGCACCCUAAUGAGAUUAUCCGUGACGAAAACAGUGUCGUCGUCACCCAUCACGAACCACCUCACGUUUUUCGGACCCAGACGCAGCAUCUCCGACACGAUCCUCGAGAUCCGCAGCGCCGAGCGUUGCCCUUGCUUGUUCGUGUAAGGGAACGAAGCUGUCCCGCCGGAGAUUCUCACCGGCGGAAGUAGAUCCUCGUCGUCGUCGUUGCUAGUGUUGUUCUUCUUCACCGCUUUGUCUAACCAGACGUAGCCGCGCAUGUGUUUGGGUUUGUACCAGAUCUUGAUAUACUCUUUCCUCUGUUUCCACAGUUUCGCCGACGCGGCGAUCCCGAACACCACGUGGCUGAGAUCGGUUGGCUCGUCUUCCACCUCUUCCUCCUCGGACUCGCGCCGACGUGAAGGUAGUGCAGAGGAGGAGGAGGAGGAGGAGAGGUUGGCGGAGAGGGUGGUGAAGGUGAUGGAAUCGUCGCAGGAGCGUGAGGUGGAGACGAGCUUGAGCAUGUAGAUAAUGUAAGUGAAAGCGAUGAAGCAGAUGAGCCAGACCAUUAGUUUAGGACCGGGUCGGGUUACCACCGACAACGUUCCGGGUUUCUCCGAGGAGUCUUUCUGGUUACCUUUCAUCCUCCCUCUUUCGAGCUUCUUGAUUCGUACCCCCAGAGGAGAGAACGAACCGAAAAGAUUGGAUCUUUGUUUUCGUAAAAGAGAAAGAUUAGUGUGAGUGAGAUUGGUGAUGGAUGUCCUGAGAAAUCGCUUCUUGGUUUCAAACGAUCCUUAUUUUAUCUCUCAGGUACAUAUGCUGCGCUGGUUACAUGCCUUGUAGCGGCAGGUGUGGAGAAGCCAAAUGUCCUCAACUUUGUCUUGCCACUGAGGUGAGGAUAUUUGUUUUCAGAGCUUUUUAUCUUUAAAUGAAGUCUUGUUAUAGAAUGUUUCAUUACAGCAUCUGAAUAUAAUAACAUAAGCAUAUAUAAUCUCAUGCCUAUGUUAUAUGGGCUUAUGAUGCCACUCCAUGAGUUGUUAAAUAUUAUAAAAGUUUCCUAAAUAGCAAAAUGAUUCGUAGGUCUUUUGCUGCUUUGGAACCUCUGUGGCAUCGACUCGUUUCCUUCUGCAAGAUGAGUUCCAAAUUCAGACCACACAAUGUGACAACUGCAUCAUUGUAAGUAGUAAUCCUCAUUGGUCACGCCGGUUAUUGAGACUCGCAAGCAGUUAAAGUAGAAACAGUACAGACUAUGAAACAUGAGAAACAAGUGUUAGUGAUCUGUGCUGUCUUAUUGGCUGUUGUAGGGUUUUAUGGUUUGCCUUAGCCAAGUGGCUUGCAUAUUCUCCAUAGUUGCGUGUAUCGUCGGCAUUGAUGAGCUUUCAGAAGCUUCCCAGCUGCUCUCUUGUUUAUCUGACAUGGUGUACUGCACGUAAGCAACUUCCUUAUCUGCACUCUCAUUUUCAUUCUCUCUUUAAACUUAAUUGACCCUGAUGAUCAUGUUUUUGCUUCAUUCCCAGGGUUUGCGCUUGUAUGCAGGUAAAGUGAUGAUAUCAACCUCACCUCUACUCAAAAAACUAAUAUCACAGUUUUCCUUAUAAAAUCUUAUUAUGCUUAUAUCUAGACACAACACAAGGUGGAAAUGGACAAGAGAGAUGGUAAGUUCGGUCCACAACCAAUGGCUGUGCCUCCCCCUCAGCUAAUGUCACGGAUUGAUCAAGCCACUCCACCCGCUAUCGGUUAUCCUCCACAAGGUUACCCACAACACCCUCCUCAAGGGUAUCCAUCUUCUGGCUACCCUCAAAACCCUCCAGCUUAUCCUCAGUACCCUCCUGGUCCGGCUUAUCCACCUCAAGGUUACCCAAAGUAAUCACUCUUUUGCGUUCACUUUCACGUCGUUGAUAUAUGCUCUGUGUGCCGGUCAAAGUGUUUUGAGGUCAUUAUUUGGUGUGUAAGACUUUACUUCAAAUCAUCUUGUUGUUAUCUGAGACCGUCCCCCUAUUGGACUGAGACAUCUGAUGAAUUUUUUUCUUUUCAUUUGAUUUUUUUUUUUGGAAAGUAAAGAGACCAAAUAUAUAUAUAUAUAUAUAUACACGUCGUCACGUCCAUUUCACUAAAAUCUAGUUUUUAAUAAAUAAAAAAUAUUUACUAAAUAUUGAUAUGUUGUGUUUGGAACAAUGUUGAAUUGAACCAGUUGGAUCUCAAUGAAUACAAUUUUAAAUAACGUGGCAAGAAAUUACGAGUGAGUAAAGCAGCCUAAAACUAUUUUUUCUUCUCAUUCAAAAAUUAAAUCAAUACAAAAAUACUAUAUAAGAGUAAGUUACUUUACUUCAGUGACUUCACCAUCUCUACAUACACCAACAUUGAUCCAUAACGUAUUAUUCCUCUUCGUUUGUAACACCCUGCAGCAGUUCCUCCUCGGUGACUGUACAAAAAACACAUGCACCAUGUAAGUCCACAACAUUAUGCACGUUAUAACCACAUGCUAAAAAAAAUAACAUUACGUUACUUACCCGUUCCCACAGAUGCGGAUCAGGUUUCUUGUAAACGACGAUGGUGUUAAUCUCAGCCGGGUUCGCUAUCUUCCACUUACAAGACGGAUGCGAAACACGGUGCCGCGUGUAUUCGCUAACCGUCGUGUUCAGCUGCUUGUCGAACUUCGUGGUCGACAUGUAAUACACAAACGGUUUUUGGCACGGUUGCCGACUAACAGGCCUGGUGUUGAAUGCGUAGGCGGUGUAGUCCGCUCUUUUGUACCAAUUCAAGAAGGUUCUAGAAGGCAUUUCCAUUUCCCUUGGAGAAAAUAUUCCUCGGAAUAUUUGGACCGCGUAGCCCCACGAGACCGAGACGGUCCAGCUCUUGUGCUUGUCGUAGCAUAUAGACUGCUGGAGAAG
rnacentral:lncRNA from 1 species